rnacentral:rRNA from 1 species
CACUAAGCGGAGGAAAAGAAACUAACAAGGAUUCCCUUAGUAACGGCGAGUGAACAGGGAAAAGCCCAGCACUGAAGCCUGCGGUCGUUUGAUCGCCAGGCAAUGUGGUGUUCAGGUCAAUCCGCGGAGGCACUGCUCCACCCUAAGUCCAAAUAUGAGUACGGUUGUACGGACAUGGCCCAAUGAGGGUGAAAGGCCCGUGGGGGUGGAGACCAGAUAGGCCAGUGCUGCUCUGGGGAGACCUUGGAGUCGGGUUGUUUGUGAAUGCAGCCCAAAGCGGGUGGUAAACUCCAUCCAAGGCUAAAUACAAGCACGAGUCCGAUAGCGAACAAGUACCGUGAGGGAAAGUUGAAAAGUACUCUGAAGAGAGAGUAAACAGUGCGUGAAGCCGUUCAGAGGUAAACGGGUGGAGUUGAACUGUGAGUUCCGAGGGUUCAGCUGGUAACUAUGGUUGAGCUUGGGUGAUUUGGUUGGACUCUGGGGUCUGCGUAGCAGCAGGUUCUUGCCUCUGGUGGGAAUGUGCGAUACACUCGUCGAGUGUUGUGCGCCCCGGAUGUUCCGAGCCUGGUUGCCAGUGCACUCCCUCGGGACGGUCACCACGACCGGCACUGCUGUUGGUCUAUUGCGGUCGAACCGUGCGUUCUAAGUUCUUGUGACUUUUUCCGUACGGGAUGGCAGGUAGCUCGUUGGCUUGCUUGCAGGCUUUCGGGUGAAAUAGCUGGCUGUAAUUUGACUAUGCGGUGUGCCGGAGACGGCGGCUUGAGGUGUGUGCGUGCGUGCUAGUUUUCUGGCGUGUCCGUGUCAGGUUGCUCAGUUGCUCACCUAGUGGGCCAAGCGGCGACUGGGACGCGUUCGGGAGGCGGUUGCGUGCGUUGCAUCGUACUUGGGCCAACAGUCUGUGGUGUUGCGGUAGACGAUCCACCUGACCCGUCUUGAAACACGGACCAAGGAGAUUAACAUGUGCGCGAGUCAUUGGGCGUAACGAAACCCACAGGCGCAGUGAAAGUAAAGGCUUGGCUUGUCCAGGCUAAGGUGAGAUCCUGUCGUUUCCUACGCGUGGUACUACCAAGCAUCGAGCGGCAGGCGCAUCACCGGCCCGUCCCAUGAUUUCGGCAGUUGAUUUAUCGAUUGUACAGUCGGGGCGGAGCAAGAGCGCACAUGUCGAGACCCGAAAGAUGGUGAACUAUGCUUGUGCAGGUUGAAGCCAGAGGAAACUCUGGUGGAGGACCGCAGCGAUUCUGACGUGCAAAUCGAUCGUCAGACAUGAGUAUAGGGGCGAAAGACUAAUCGAACCAUCUGGUAGCUGGUUCCCUC